rnacentral:rRNA from 1 species
GUAGGGAAUAUUGGACAAUGGGCGCAAGCCUGAUCCAGCCAUGCCGCGUGAGUGAAGAAGGCCCUCGGGUUGUAAAGCUCUUUUGUCCGGAAAGAAAAGCGCCGGGUUAAUACCCUGGUGUCCUGACGGUACCGGAAGAAUAAGCACCGGCUAACUUCGUGCCAGCAGCCGCGGUAAUACGAAGGGUGCAAGCGUUACUCGGAAUUACUGGGCGUAAAGCGUGCGUAGGUGGUUCGUUAAGUCUGAUGUGAAAGCCCUGGGCUCAACCUGGGAAUUGCAUUGGAUACUGGCGGGCUAGAGUGCGGUAGAGGGUAGUGGAAUUCCCGGUGUAGCAGUGAAAUGCGUAGAGAUCGGGAGGAACAUCCGUGGCGAAGGCGACUACCUGGACCAGCACUGACACUGAGGCACGAAAGCGUGGGGAGCAAACAGGAUUAGAUACCCGGGUAGUCC